rnacentral:lncRNA from 1 species
ACUAAUUGAUUCUCUACUCCCCAUCAAUCCGCUAUACUAAUUGAUUCUCUACUCCCCAUCAAUCCGCUAUACUAAUUGAUUCUCUACUCCCCAUCAAUCCGCUAUACUAAUUGAUUCUCUACUCCCCAUCAAUCCGCUAUACUAAUUGAUUCUCUACUCCCCAGGUAUUUUCCGCUUCCACGAUUGACAUCUGCAGCAUGAGAGAGAGAGAGAGAGAGAGGUGUUCGAUGGAGAGAGCGUCGAGGCAGUGGCAGCAGGCAGGACACGAGAGGGCGGCUGCAAGGGGUGAGGAGGGAACGAAGAAAGUGAGUGAUCCAAGUGUGCCCGACCACGCCGACGCAGACCGACGCUCGGUCGGCGACUCCCACUCCUCUUUCCACUCUCUUCUCCCCUCCUUACAUUCCUUCUCUCUCCCUCUCAUCUUCUUUGUCUCCUGCAUGGACCGAUCCAUGGCGCUGCAUCGAAUCGAGCAUCGUCGUCGUCGCCCAUUGCCUGCUGGUCACCGCCGCCGCCGAAAAAGCUCGCCUCCGCGCCCCAUGCCUCGGAUGCUCCUCAUGCAUCUGCCCCCUUGCUCUCCUCGCUGUGCUCACGCCCCGCAAACCACGUGCUUGUGCCGACGGGGAGAGUAGAGGAGUAGACGACCACGACCUCCUCCUCCUCACGCAUGUGCCCCUCCCUCCGAUCCAUGGCGCUGCAUCGAAUCGAGCGUCCCCGUCAUCGCCCAUGGCUUGCAGGUCACCGCCGCCGCCGAAGAAGCUCGCCUACGCGUCCGCAUGCCUCGGAUCCGGCAGGCGCGCUGCCCCCUGGUCCUCCUCCUCAUGUAUCUGCUCUCUUCAUCUCCUCGCUCUCCUCACGCCCCGCGAUAGUGUCCUGAUCACUCGAACCCAUCUGGGUGGAGAACACCUAAUUUAGGUGGUCAGAUCCUUAUAUAACAGUAAGUUCACCAUGUCAGCCUAGUAAAAUCCAAUCUAAACACCAUGAAAUUUACAGAAUAAAAUACAAACAAGCAUGCUCAGUUAAAUCCUGCCUAUAGAUUAUAGAACUGUGAAAUGCCUAAACGAUGAUAUGCUAACACCUUCUACAAGCAUUCUGUCACUUAGCUGGUGUCAAAAUAACAACACAAUCAGCCAUGUUUAUCAAUAUAGAAGUUAUGUGGUUGUGUCGAUAUAAAAGACGCUGCACAAUAGUACCUUGGGUGGCAUCAGGAAGAUAGCCUUUCUGGAGGUGGCUCAGGCUUGUCCUGCAAACAACCCAUUAUAUAUAUCGGCAACAAACCAUGCGCGUGUGCGCGCACGCACACACACAUACAAGGAAAGAGAACCAUUGUUCUUCAGUUAUUUCCAUGUAAACAGAUUUUGAACGACAAUGUGAGAACAUGAGGACAUAAAGAUCACAAACAACAGUACAGGAAACAUAAACAUUCAUGUAGCGACCCUGUUAAAUAUUGUUCCCACUCAGCAGCUAUCCCAUAGAUAGAAAGGCGAACAACAAGGAACACAUGUAUGAGAUAAAUGGUGACCUACAGUCUUAUGUAGGCGCAUCAAUAAACUACACAACAUUCUUGGAGAAAAUAGAGAAUGCAAGAAAAUACAUACAAAUGCAUUGAGUCAAUAAUCAAAUAACAUACUUCUUAUUGUCUAUUUUGCUUGUAAUAACAAAGCCAAAACCAUUUGCUAUUUCAAACGUAAACUCACGCAUCUCUUUUACAAAUCAGACAAGAGCACCUACCAUCAAGAGCAGCCUGAAACAACGUCAUGAAGCAAGAAACAACAGUGGCACUAAAAACAUACUUUACUUUUGUAAGUGCGAACUUCUACUUCCAUCCAGCGACCAAAUUAUAGGACUGCCUUCUGCAAGGAUUUGAAGAAAAGAGUUACCCCAAAUGCAGACUUCUACAUAUGAGAAACUGCAACAACCUGCUUGUCCUCUUGUACAAAUUCCUCAUAUGAACAAUCAUAUUUCCAUGUGUAAAAUAUAAAUACAAAAUACUGGUUAUUCUACCCAUACAAGACAAGCUGAAGAAUAAUAAUCUAACCUUUCAUGGAUCACCAUAAUAAAAGCUAUUGUAGAAAAUAAUUUGGGCAAUCAAUUUCUGUGAGACCAAAAAAUGCAAGAAAAGCCGAUUAGUUGGGUCAGAAUAUUGCACCACUCGAUCAUCUCGGCAUUAUAGUUGCAGCCACCCAUAAAAACCAUGAAUGCUUCACACUAAAUAGGCAUAUACAUCGGAAUUUAGAGGGGAAUCACCGGAUGUAGUGUGCUAUGAGGCUGUUGAACUUGGUUGUCAUGUUGUCACUGCGCUGGAAACCUCGCUGAAAAGAUUCAAGAAGAAGCACCUAGUUGAGAGAGGGAGGCAAGGUAGAUGAAGAGAUAGAUCGGGAUGGAGUACAGGAGGGGAAAGAGAAACGGGGGAGGAUGAGCAUACCUGCAGCGUUCAUGGACUCUGCGAAUAUAAACGGUGGCCGUUGUUGUUGUCCUCGCGAGAACCUGAUGGAUACCCAAACCCUAGGUGCAAAAUAAAAAUUAAUUUAGGGAGGAAGAAAUCAAAAGGAGGCUCUUACACAGGAGGAAGUCCAAGGAUGCACUGAUCCAACUCCCUUGCUGCGUCCACCAUUUUC